rnacentral:rRNA from 1 species
UACGUAGGGUGCAAGCGUUGUCCGGAAUUAUUGGGCGUAAAGAGCUCGUAGGCGGUUUGUCGCGUCGAAUGUGAAAACCCGGGGCUCAACUCCGGGCCUGCAUUCGAGUACGGGCAGACUAGAGUUCGGUAGGGGAGUCUGGAAUUCCUGGUGUAGCGGUGAAAUGCGCAGAGUAUCAGGAGGAACACCGGUGGCGAAGGCGGGACUCGUGGGC